rnacentral:rRNA from 1 species
UACGGGGGGGAGCAAGCGUUGUUCGGAUUUACUGGGCGUAAAGGGCGCGUAGGCGGCCAGCACAAGUCAGUUGUGAAAUCUCCGAGCUUAACUCGGAAAGGUCAACUGAUACUGUGCGGCUAGAGUGCGGAAGGGGCAACUGGAAUUCUUGGUGUAGCGGUGAAAUGCGUAGAUAUCAAGAGGAACACCUGCGGCGAAGGCGGGUUGCUGGGACGGUACUGACGCUGAGACGCGAAAGCGUGGGGAGCGAACAGG